rnacentral:lncRNA from 1 species
GUUUUUUGUGUGCAAAUCCCUAAACAUACUUACUUAUUUUCUUUACAGCAGCAUAAGAAAGAAGUGUUGAGAACUGCUCUUAACCCUUUUGGAGGCCGAAGUCAAAAGGGAAAUAGAGGGCUUGACGCAUUCUUUACAUCCUGCAUUUACUCUGACCACAGUCCCUCCCUGUUCUCACAAGCGGAGCUCAGCCCUGCUUCCCUUCCUGUUGAUUCCCAGUCAGCUACAUGGUAAGUUUUCAUUACCUCUAGACUUGUUGCCAUGAGGUAAAACCCUGGCAGACUCUCUCUAAAAUCCAUUAGCACUGGGCAUUGAGGGCAGAGCACUUCAUACCCAUCAGAGAUCGUUCAGUUGUAUUCCAGGCUGACUGCAAGGAAGGGAAGAUAGUAUUGAAUUAGCAUUGGAGCUGAACUUCAGCAUAGAUUGUUAUAGGAAUAAAAUAUGAAGUAAAAUAUGUGACA